CUGAAACCUUAGUGGCUUAAAAUAGCAAGCUUUUCAUUGUCUGUGAUUCUGUGGCUCCGUGGGGACAGCUGUCUCUGCUUCACACGGGGUUAUAGGGGGCCUCCUUAUGUGACUGCCUUCAGCUGAGAUCAGGGCUGGGUGGGAAAGUCCCAGAAGUCUCCACCCACAAGCCUGGGGCAUCUUGGUCCCCACUAGGUGGCAUGUCUCUCCAGCAGGGUAGCCUGAGCUGCCUUCUGUGAAGGCUCAGGGCAGCACAGAAGGGAAAGCAGAAGAUGCUGGGCCUCUCCAGGUCUAGCCCAGAACGCCUACAGUCAUUUCCACUACAUUUUCUCGGCCAAACUCAAGGGCUCUUUCCAAGGCUUUGGCAUGUUCCAGAAAAUGUAGCCUCUGACCUUCUAAGUCACCAGGGCCUUCCAGCUCCCAAGCGAGCCCAGCUUGCAGAGUCUCAGCAUAUAAUGAAAAAUCGGUGAGAAACCCAAUCUGGGGCUAUCAGGUGGAGCGUUCAGCCCUCGGCCCCCUUGUCCCCCCGACAGGCUGGACCCCUUUCCCUUCUCACACAUGGCUCAUUCCCAGCACCAGUUGGAUCCUCCCAGCUGAAAAAUAAAAGUCCUUCAAACA
rnacentral:lncRNA from 1 species